CAGCGAAAGGCUGUCCUCCUACACCUGCCUUCCUGGCCAUGGGAUGUGCAACCCAGUGGAAAACUGGGUCUCGGGUAUCUCCAAAGGAGCAGCUCUGAGAGCAUCGGCCAGGCUGGAGGUGGGCUCCAGCGCUGCUGGUGGAAGCACAGAAGCUGCCCUGUGCUCCUGUUAAAAAUGAGCUGAAAGCUGACAGAGCUGCUGUGCUUUAUGGCUGGGAGCGAGGCGUAUAAAUAGCAGCAGUAUCAAGGUUAGAGAAUGUGCUUUCCUGAAAGAGCUCAAGCCACCCUUGUAAUCCACCCUGAGCAGUGAGAUCAUCGCUUGCAAGUACAGAAGAGGAGGAAGAGAGGCUCGGUUUUUAUUUAUACUUUGCCUCAUGCUUAACUUUGUCCUUUUGCUUGAAAUCUGUUCACCAGAGCAACUGCAUCCAGGCAGGUCUUGGAGCCAGGGUGGCUUUGAGAAAGGCUCUGCUCUCGGAAAGUGAGCUGAGAGCAAGGUGAGGGGAUGGGAGCUGGUCAGUGACAAAGAAUGGUGCGAUGGCUGUAAUUAGGUGCCUUGCCUCCCACUCUGACAAACCAGCAAUCUGUGCAGUAAGCAUAUUUUCUUAGAGCUCUCGGAGUGAAUGUCAGACACCAAAAUAUCUCAAGUUACUUGACUGAUGUUAUUCUUGCAAGAGUUGUAAAAAUACAUGCGCAGCAUUGCCCAGCUGAUUGAAUUACAGCUGCCCUGCCGUACCUUCAGCCUUGGACCCAAGCCCACUUAGAACAACUGCAGGAGGUUCAUGCUUUGGUGAAACCUUGACAAUAUCUAAUAUAUAUAUAUACAUAUAUAUUUGCCCACAGUGAAGUCACCCUCAGUAGGUGAGUGAAUAGGUCACCCCAUGACUUUAUUUCACAUGAGCGACACCGUAGAGCAAUUAAAAUAAAUGGCAAAUGGUAGUAACAUCUGCAAACAGCCUCUGUGUUGCUUUAGGGAUUAUAAUGCAACAUCCGUUUGUACAGCAGAAUAAAUUGCUAUUGCUUCGUAACCUCGUCGUUUGUAUUAUUGUAUACAAAGUUUCAGAGCAUGUUGAAAGACCAGCAUAUAAAGUGAUUAAACUCUGAUGGUGGGUGUGAGAACUUUGAUUUAUGCAAUGCAUACAUUUCAUCUCGAGUCAUAAUUUGUCUAUUUUUAAAUGGUCCCUUUGGACGAGGGCUGCAGGAAUCUCUUGUUUAUUUCUUAGAGCCGCUCACCAUUUUGUACUGAAGUUGAAAGAAGUUGCUGGCCUCUCCGGAAGGUGCUGGGAGCCUUUGCUGCUCAUCCAUUUGCUGCUGGAAACAACAGAAAGUUGUGGUUUUUCCACGACAUCCUGGGCUCCAUCCUCAACUAGCGUCCAGCUGCCUCCCUUAUCUCCCGGAUUAUAUUUUUAUCAACACUGAAUUGAUACUUCAGCUGCUUUUUAGCCCUCCGUUCGAUAAUUUUUCAAGCAAUAGAGCAGAGUGUAAGCCAGCUUCCUCCUGGAGCACCAGGUGAAGCAGCCAGCUCAGCGUACUCAGACUGAAGGUCAGCGUCUCCUUGCCAAGCGUGUGACACUGCCGAGCGUAUGGGCAGCUCAUUAUGAAGCACUGAUUGAAUUCCAGUUUCACUGAUGCAAACAAGGACCCUGAUUUUAGGACACCUUAAAAUCAGGCUAAGGCACUUCUUCAUCAGUUAUUUACGAAGGAAAGGAAAAAAAAAAACGAAAACCCCACACUCUUUUAUAAAGAUACAUAGAGAGAUUCAUUGCACUUGGCUGAAUCACAAAGGCUGUGCGGUGCUCCUCUCAGCUCUGUGUUAAUGGAUUGAGGGCAGGCCCCAGAGAUAGCUUUAAACACACAAAUUAUUCAAUCAGUGCUGAGUGCACUCUGUCAAGCAAAUCUCUUCAGAUUAUCUCUUUAUACAAAAGCAGAUUUUUUGUUCAUUUUUUUUCAUGCAUUCUGUCGGGAUGAAAAAAACCAUUUAGCUUUAGUUCUCUUUAAACUAAAAGAGGGGAGAUGUAGGUUAGACGUUGGGAAUAAAUCCUUUGCUCAGAGGGUGGUGAGGCGCUGGCACAGCUGCCCAGAGAUCUGUGGGUGCCCCAUCCCUGGAGGAGCUCAAGGCCAGGCUGGAUGGGCCCUGGGCAGCCCGAGCUGGUGGGUGGCAGCCCUGCCCACAGCAGGGGUUGGGGCUGCAUGGGCUCUAAGAUGCCUUCUAACCCAAACUAUUCUGUGAUUCCAGGGUUCUGGCACUGCACAGGUUUGGCAGCAUGAAGAAAUAUCCUGUGCAAAUGUUUCUUACGAACACAGAGUUUCCCUACAGAGCACUGAGAAGAAUAGCCUGACAUACAACCAUGUUCUGAAUUAAUCCCUUGUAAAAAUGUCUUUGUUAAAUGCAACAUCUCUCAGAACUAUUGUUGGUGAAAGUACCGUGAAAUUUGCAACAGUUCUUACGCUAUAUUCCUCCGUAACUUGCAAAAUCCCACUCUCCGAGUGAAACCCAGGAUCCGUAUUGCAGCCAGGAUCCAUUUUUGUUACAGCAAAACUACAAAUCCUUUAGGAUAUGAGUUCCCAGCUGGAACUUUUUUUUUCUUUUUCUUUUAUGAACCUGGCUAUUUAGAAAAUGCCUUAAAGAGAACUCAUUAGUUUUCAUUGCGCUGUAUGCAUUUAACCAGCUAAACAAGCUAAUGUGCAGCACUUCAUUUCCUAAUUUGGCUUUGAAGCCGUCGCAGCAGAAGUAUCAAUUACAUUCUGUCAAAUGCAAACAUUAACAUAACUGUAUGAAGCAAUCAUGUUUCUAACAACAGCAAGCACUGCCCAGAGGACCAAAAUAAAUAAAAUUCAUAGAGCAAGAGGUAACGCUUUUCUUUAUGGUGAGAUUAGGGCUGGCCAGCGUUGGUUUGUUUUCCUCUCUGGGGACGGGGAGCAGUGCCUGUGGAGCUGCCGAGGCCAACCCGGCCCCAUAGUGCAGCUAUCAGCAGCUCAGCCAGGGCACAGCCCCGUCACUGUGGGUGUGGAUUUCUGCAUGCAACUCCCGCUGUUAUUAAUGGUUAAUUAACGUGCAAUUUGCAGAAAGAGAUGAAACUCGGACCUCGGCGGCGCAGCGUGAGCGCUCACGCAGGCUUAUCGUUUGAAGAAAUAUCAGGGUGACACGAAGGGUGGAUGGCAGAAAAUAAGUGCGGCGUGAAUCAGCUGCCCCUUGUUUAUCUCACGGCGCUGUGGUGGGAAAACAUUCACCUCCAGCCACUGCUGCCUCCUGCCAACAACAAAAGUCGCGUUUGAUAAAUUAUUAGUGGAGAUGUUCUCAGUGGCUUUGCUUAGAUUUUACUCCUCUUGCGCAAAUUGCAGAUUAGGAAAGCAUUAAGUAACAACAGUGUGGCUAAAGUAUUACACAUCGCCCUGGCUAUUAGCCAGAGAAUGUAGCAUGCAAAAGCUGACAUUGCCUAAGAAAUCAAAUAUAGCUCUGGUCAGCACAGAAAAUUACUCUUCCCUACCACUAAAGGUAGUUGCUCAGUUUCUGUUGUGUCACCCAGUGUCUUGCAGCAGAAAACUGUUCAUUCCGGGGCUUUCUUUUCCUUUUUCUUUUUCUUUUCUUAACUUCCAGGUAGUGACAAAGCCACAAACAUUUAGAUGAAUCACAGAAACCAUAAAUGUAAUUGAGUGUAAAGCUAUUGUUGGGCCUUGUGAUGAUAUCCCCAUCCAGUCUCAACUUGUCGGAGUUGUAGUCUUACAGAGGUUUAUAUACUGUAAGGUUUCUUUGCCAUGCUGUCAACUGGGGGCAAAGUACUGACAUAAUCAUGGAAUCAUAGAAUAAAGUGAGGCAGAAGCACCGCCAUAAUUUGGGACAGAAGCCUGCACAGUGCUCUUGUGCCCAGUCACAAUGACUUUGCAGUGAGAGGCCUGAUGUGAGUAAGUGCUUCCCCUGGUGAGUAAAUACAGCAGAGUAAAGCUCGUCAUGUUCACCCCUGAGCCUUUGUGACAAAACAGAGGCACAACGGCACCCAAGCUCCAGGUGAAAGGCUGAAGCCCACCCCGGUCUGUGUGUGGAUUGUUACCUAAGCAUCACGGUGGUAAACCCUCUCCUUUCCACACCAGUAUGUGUGCACAAACUGCCUGUGUCUGUCAGGCCAACAGGCCCACUUGUCCCCUGGAAGCACUGGCAGAUGCCUACAAAGGUGCACGGAGCAGGCAGGUGCCUGUCAAGCUCCACCUGCGAUGUCCCUGCUGUGGCACAGGGACAACAUGGCUCACUUAUGUUCAACUUGGCAUUUAGCCAUUUUCCAAGGAUCUUCCUUUGAGAAAGGGUCUUUGACUCUCUGUUCUUUCAGGCCUCAAGAUCCUGCAGCAGUGAGCUCCAGAGCGGAAUACCACUACAGGCCUUUUCUUGGAAAGAGGAUAUUCUCCAAAACAUAAGAAAAUGACAGGAACUCCUGCAGAGAAGCAGCUGGCCCUGUGUCCAUGGGAGGUCACCCUAGGAGAUGGCUGUGGAGCCCGGGGUGGUGGAGGCCUGGCAGAAAGGCUUAAUCAGCGAGCUCAUGGGAUUUUGUAUCACGGGUCUUGUGAUCCUUAAUAUGUGAGAGCCCUGUCUGCCAAAGUUAAUGAUCUCCAGGAGAUUUCCAGUUCCCAUGGGAGGAAGAAAGAGCCAGUGCUCAGUCCUCGCCGUUGAGGGAUUUGAAAGGAUGUGUCCUGUGAACCCUUUGGACUGUUCUCUGUUUGUCACCAGUGUCCCGGCCAGAUGCUCUGUGCUGUACAGGCAUGCUCGAGCGGCUGCCUCAUUACAGCAGGCAGAGCUUUGUCCUUUUAUCUGAGCAGCUGGCAAAACAAUAAAUUAAAAAAUAAGGCCAAGUCAGCAAAUAGCUUUCUUUCCACAUACACGAGGCGUGUGAGGAAAAGCAGGACGUGUGUCUCGGCCGGAGGGGAGGACCUCACCACACCAUGAUGCGGCCCAGCCGGCUUGUGACCGUGUGCUGACCACAGCCAUGGCCCUGGGAGGCCUCUCCCCGUCAUGAAGCAAGGACUGUGCCACUGCGCCAUGGGGAGAGGAUCUCAGCAUGUCAGGAUGGGCCCCUGACCAUGAGGGAACCCCUCCCUGUGCUGUGGGAUGGUUGUGUGGAUGUGCUUGCAAGCGUGUUGAUAGUAUGGUCCACACUGGGCCAUCUUGGAUCCAGGACUUCUAUGCUAGAGGAGGACGUGCUGGAAAUACAUCUCACUUCAGUUCAGUGCUGCAUGUGAUCUGAAGUCCUUCAGCUGCUGACCACGGGCAGGGCUGUCCUCAUGGGUCUCAGUGGGCGAGCAGGGACCGGGCUGGCCUGUGAUGCACAUCCUGCUCACGCAUGUGGGCAUGAGUCAGAGCCUGAGAGGAAGAGGCCUCGCCCAGCACAGAGCGGUGCCGGGCACUGGGUGAGGUGCUGACAGAGCUGGCCACCUGUCACUGCUGGCAGCACCUGCACCUGCAGCAUGGGGAAGGGGUUUGGAGUCAGGGUUUUAACACAAAUGCUACAGGAUAGGUUUUUAGAGAUGUUUUAGAAAUGUAUGCCUUGGAGUUGGAGGAGCUGCUCAGGGCUCUCAGAGUCAUUCAUAGAACCAUAAAGACCUUAUAACUCUCUUCCAGUACUUGGAAGGUGCUUACAGUGAGAGCGGGGUAGGUCUCUUCUCACUGGUGACAGGUGACAAGACGAGGGGAAAUGGCCUCAAGUUGCGCCAAGGUAAGUUUAGGUUGGACGUUAGGAAACACUUCUUUACAGAAAGGGUGUUUAAACACUGGAAUAGGCUCCCCAGGGAGGUGGUUGAGUCACCAUCCCUGGAUGUGUUUAAAAACCAUUUGGAUGUGGUGCUCAGGGACAUGAUUUAGCAGAGGGUUGUUAGAGUUAGGGUACUAUGGUUAGGCUGCAGUUGGACUUGAUGAUCUUUGAGGUCCUUUCCAACCUGAGUAAUUCUAUGAUUCUAUGAUUCUGUGAAAGGUUUGAAAAAAACACUGAGAUCAUCUGGUCCAACAGUCCACCUACCACCAAUAUUGCCCACUAAAACACGUCCCUAAGUACCACAUCUCCAUGUUUCUUGAACACCUCCAGGGACAGUGACUUCACCACCACCUCCCUGGGUAGCCUGUUCCAAUGCCUCACUACCCUUUCUGAGAAGAAAUUUAUCCUAAUAUACAACCUGAACCUCCCCAGCAUAACUUAAGAUCAUCACCUCUCAUCCUAUUGCUGUUACGUGGGAGAAGAGGCCAAUCCCCACCUCACCACAACCUCCUUUCAGGGAGUUGCAGAGAGCAAUAAUGUCUCCCCCGAGACUCCUCUUCCCCAGACUAAAGUUGUUGUGACUAACGUGCAGGAGCCAGAACUUGAUCUUGUUGAAUUUCAUCCCAUUGGCCUCAGUCCAGCAGUCCAACAUAUCCAGAUCCAUCUGUCGGGCUUUCCUACCCUGAGGCAGAUCAACACUUUCUCCCACCUUGGUAUGACCUGCAAACGUACUGAGGGUGCAGUCAAUUUGCUCAUCCAAGUCAUCAAUAAAGAUAUUAAACAGGACGGGCCCCUGUAGUGAUCCCUGGGGAACACCACUUGUGACUACUCAUAAACAUCCCAGGCUUCCUCCCGCAGCUAGUGUGUGCUGAUCCCCACGCAUAACAGGUAGAAACCUCUGGAAAAGUGAUGCAGCCUUCAACUCUCUCCUUCCCUUUGGCUUGGCCUCCGUCUUGCUAUUUUCUGCAACCAUCAGCUGCUCUUUACCCAGGUGCUAAUCUUGCUGGGGCACUGGAACAGCUGAGACGGUCCCGACAGCCACCCGCCGCCUUCCCAGGAAACAGGUGUUCAGAUCUUUUGACCCCUGUGAAUGUUUGUGUUUGAUUAUUUCUGGAAAUAUACCACGGUGGCCUUAGUGCAAUUUCUUCAGAAAUGAGAUUCAUCUUUGCUAGGAAGCUGUCGUGUGUCUCAAGCAAAGGUCAAGCUGAAUAGUUUUGGAAAGUGCUCCAGCUGCAAGAGGCUCCAGGGCCAUGUGAGUGGAAGCAUGUCCAUUGCUUGGCAAGUAAUCAGAAAGCCCCAAAUGUCCACUGAGCUUCUCAGAGUCAAUGGGACGACACGGAGGGAGUAAUGCUGGGUAGGACUGCAGCCAGUGGUAGAUGGACUGCGGUCUCGCAGCUGUGGCUUUAAAAGGGCAAUUGAUUCACUUGGAAACAACUAGCACGUGUGGCUUCAUAACAGGCAGGAGAAUUUAGUCUCCUCACAUGCCAAAGUACAGUAGAGCAGUGAGAUUUUUCCAGUGACCACCACAUCAUACAGCCAGUAAGACACUGCAGCAGCGCACCUCCCUUUGGUAUGUCUGCAGGCUCCAAAACACACGUGUAACCCUUGAAAACAAAGGGAGAAAUCCUUCAGUUAAAGUCCUCAUAGGGAGGGGUUAAGUCCAGGAAGCAAUCAAACAAAACAAAAUAAAGUAUGCAGCUAAUGAUCCAGGCUGCUGCAGCAGUUCAAAGUAAGGAUAAAUAAAUAUCAUUCUGAGUGAAUACAGAAAACGCAUGUUCCAGAAGGACACAAGAGCACCCUUCUCCAAGAAGCUGGAGUUUCCCUUUAUAGUCCAGAUGAGGAUGCUCCUCGCAGCAAGGACAUGUAGCGCAAGCCCUCUGAUGCUAUCUCAUAUCAUAGAAUCAUAGAAUCACUAGGACUGGAAAUGAUCUCUAAGGUUAUCUAGUUCAACCAUCAACACACCCCCACCAUGCCCACUAAACCACGUCCCUCAGUGCCACAUCUCCACGCUUCUUGAACACCUCCAGGGACGAUGACUUCACCACCUCCC
ensembl:lncRNA